rnacentral:rRNA from 1 species
AUUGAACGCUGGCGGCAGGCUUAACACAUGCAAGUCGAGCGGGGUGAUGGUGCUUGCACUAUCACUUAGCGGCGGACGGGUGAGUAAUGCUUAGGAAUCUGCCUAUUAGUGGGGGACAACAUCUCGAAAGGGAUGCUAAUACCGCAUACGUCCUACGGGAGAAAGCAGGGGAUCACUUGUGACCUUGCGCUAAUAGAUGAGCCUAAGUCGGAUUAGCUAGUUGGUGGGGUAAAGGCCUACCAAGGCGACGAUCUGUAGCGGGUCUGAGAGGAUGGUCCGCCACACUGGGACUGAGAAACGGCCCAGAGUCCUACGGGAGGCAGCAGUGGGGAAUAUUGGACAAUGGGGGGAACCCUGAUCCAGCCAUGCCGCGUGUGUGAAGAAGGCCUUAUGGUUGUAAAGCACUUUAAGCGAGGAGGAGGCUCUUUUGGUUAAUACCCAAGAUGAGUGGACGUUACUCGCAGAAUAAGCACCGGCUAACUCUGUGCCAGCCGCCGCCGUAA